rnacentral:rRNA from 1 species
UGGGGAAUUUUGGACGAAUUGGGCGAAAGCCUGAAUCCAGCAAUGCCGCGUGUGUGAAGAAGGCCUUCGGGUUGUAAAGCACUUUUGUCCGGAAAGAAAUCCUUGGCUCUAAUACAGUCGGGGGAGUGACGGUACCGGAAGAAUAAGCACCGGCUAACUACGUGCCAGCAGCCGCGGUAAUACGUAGGGUGCAAGCGUUAAUCGGAAUUACUGGGCGUAAAGCGUGCGCAGGCGGUUUGCUAAGACCGAUGUGAAAUCCCCGGGCUCAACCUGGGAACUGCAUUGGUGACUGGCAGGCUAGAGUAUGGCAGAGGGGGGUGAGAAUUCCACGUGUAGCAGUGAAAUGCGUAGAGAUGUGGAGGAAUACCGAUGGCGAAGGCAGCCCCUGGCAAGUACUGACGCUCAUGCACGAAAGCGUGGGGAGCAAAC